UCCGGUUUGACAUCACCCGGAAACCCUCAGAGAUGGGGGCCUCUUCGGACUGGGUGACAGGUGGUGCAUGGCUGUCGUCAGCUCGUGUCGUGAGAUGUUGGGUUAAGUCCCGCAACGAGCGCAACCCUUAUCCCGUGUUGCCAGCAUUAAGUUGGGGACUCGCGGGAGACUGCCGGGGUUAACUCGGAGGAAGGUGGGGAUGACGUACCAGUAUCGGAA
rnacentral:misc_RNA from 1 species